rnacentral:lncRNA from 1 species
CGAGCUUGUUUUCCCCACCAUGACUGGUGCUGUGCUUACGCUAAGGCUUGUAGGCAAAUUAUUGACGUCCUCUCAUGUUAUGCAGAAAAACACAAAGGAGAGAACCCUGCCUGAACCACCCAGCACGUUUCUCCCCAACCCCCAGAGACUAAAGAAUGCCUGCCAUGAGGAGAACGACCUUGGCUCUCUUAUACCUGCUUCCUCUGCUCCAAGGGAGUCCAGUUCCAACCCCAGGUAACUCAGUUGCUCUCUGGGCCCUGAAAACUCUGCCUCCUCGCUGUUCCCUCUGCCACCAGUCAAUUUUUACAUUUUUUGCAUUUUAAGUAUGCUUUAAAUGUUUCAGUAAUGCUUGGUAUUUCCAAGGUGUUGAAAUCAUGCUUUCAGGAAAUCGUGGAGACAGCCUGGUUUCCUGGUUACUAGCUUCCUCACUCACCUUGAGGAACUCUCCAUGAAUCCCACCUGUCUGGCUGAGCUUUUUGGUCUGUUUCCAAUGCCAGUAAUUAUUUCAUUUGUAUAGAAAUGUAUUUUGAGGAUCUGUAAUGAAUUAGACAUAGACUCUGGUUAAACAAAGCCUGCCAGGAUCGUGUUGGGUGAGAGACAAAGAAAAAGUCUUGGAAGCAGAGCAUUGGGUAACGCAAUUAGGAAAUAUUAGCAUUAAAUCUGUCAUCAAAAUUGCAGUAGGGGAGGCUGUGAGGAUUUGUUUGCCUUCCAGACUAAAGCUGUUUGGGGCCUGGAAAAUAAUAAUAACAAAAAGCAACAUUUGCAUCUUUUUUUCUAGAGAUCAGUGUAACAAUUCUUCAGAGGGGGCUGUAUUAUACUGCUUUUCCCCUGGAGGAAGCAGCUUAAGGACACAAUAAGUGGUGAAAUCAGGGAAGGAUUCCAAGGCUUAAAUUUACUCUGGUGUUGGUAGGUUUCUGCCUCCUUUGCUGGUGAGCAUCUCUGACCUCAGCCUUGGACGGUGGAGGAGAGCCAGAGCCAGAGAAAAGCCAUUGUGGGAGUUCUAAAUGACUCUUCUUGAGCUUGCUUGGAUAUCUCACUUGUGUGCCUCACCUGCCACCCUUAAUAACUUUUGACUGAAUGAUAAUUCUUCUAACUGAGAUGGCAAUGUGAAAGUACCUGGAAACAGAGCAAAGUUAAUUGUUCUAUAUCAAUAUUAGACAUGAUUACUUCUACAGUGUUCUUUUUUUUGGUGGGGAAGAUUACAUCUGUGCCAAUCUUCCUCUAUUUUUUUGUAUGUGGGAUGCCACCACAGCGUGGCUUGAUGACCAGUGUGUAGGUCCAUGCCCAGGAUCUGAACCUGCGAAGCCUGGGCUGGGUGAAGCAGAAUGUGCAAACUUAACCAAUACACCACUGGGCUGGCCCUCGGUGUUCUUUUUUAAUAUCAACAAUAAGAAGGAUAAAUUUCGAUAAUGACGUUCAGUUUGGUCUGCAGAUAGAACAGGACCAUAGGACUGGUUUUAUGGGAGUAAUUCAGAGUGUGUUUGUGCUUGUGAAUUCCCAAACGUCUCAGUUAUGUCUAAAUGUUUUUCUUCUAUCUGAGGAAAUUCUCAUUCCUGACAGGGGACACUAGAUAAGACAAGUGACAGGGAAAAGGCAUCUGUUCCAUAACUGAGAAGAAUUAACUCUUUCUGUCACACAAGCAAUGUAGCAAAGGCUGUGCUGUCCAAUACCGUAGCCACUACCAGUAGACAAUUAUGUAAAUUGAAGUAACUAAAAUUACAUAAAAUUAAAAAUUCAAUUCUCAAUAGCCACAUGUGACUAGUGGCUAUGGUACUGACAGUGCAGCCAGAAAGCAUUCCCGUCUUUGUAGAGAUGAUAGAGGACUUCGGGCGUGCCCUCUCCUCUCGUGUCUCAGAGUGAGGGCAGUGGGAGAGAGACUUACACAGACUUUGCUGAAAUGCUCAGUUUCUUGCUCGUGUUUGGUUGAUUGCCUUUUAUUUAGUGUCUUCCACAUGGAACAAUGCCCACAAACUAAGGCAUACCAGUGGAGAAUUCAGUGACGGUUUGGAACAGGAUUUCAGUUGGGAAUUCUUUGAAGAUUCAUUUGAACCAUUUAGUGAAGAAUCCAGAAAAGAACCCACUGGGAAAGCCAGAGAAACAAUCAGGAGAACAUCCUCAGGAUCACCCCAGUACAGUUGGGAAGGCAAUUCUGAUUAUAACUGGCAGUAGACCAGCAGCCUAUUUGGGAAUCCAAUGGACAAAGAAUGUGAAAAAUAUAACAGGAAGAAAACUGGCAAGGUAAUUCCUCUUUUGAAUAUUGUUUGAAGAGUCUGGGACUCUCCCUUUACUUCCAGUAAGAUUUUUCUUUUAAGACUCCCUUUAUGGCCUUUAGUGGGAUUACAGCAGCAUCAUUAUCCCCUUGGGACUCUGACUCUGUUGACACUAUGCUCCCAAUCAAGGCUUUUCCUGAUCUGGGGAUAGCCGGAAAAUUUAAGAUUUAUCCUGCUUUCUCUUGGUGUCCCACAGGCAUGAUCUGGGGAAAGGCUACUAUGCCAGCACUGUGUAAAUGAAGGCACCACACUUCCUGGGGCAGGUCGGGUGACUGGGACUUGUGGGAGAGGGGAUGUGGUCAGCAGGCUCUAGAAUCUGAUUUCAUUCUCUUGGGCCAUCUAGUCACAGGGGACCCCAAGACCACGGUAGACAAAUAGGGUCUUAAGAUCACAUCAGCGUUAAUCUCAUGAGUGUUUUAUCCCAGAGAGUAUCUUGCUCUUUAUCAAGCUUUGAGAACCUACUCUCUUCCAGGCCUAUGGCUAGGCUCUGGGGAACACAAAGAAGAUUUAGAUAGGACUUGCUUCUCUAGAUUCUUAUAGUCUAAUAUUCUGUGAUUCUAUCCCACGUGCUUCUGUAGCAGAGUAUUUCUGGAAUGCCAUGACUGGCUUCUCUUCCGAUGAGACUGUCUCUAGUAUUAGGUCUAUUUCCUCUGGCUGUCUUAAAGUGAAACAACUGUAUCUUGUUAUAUAUAUUAUUGCAGGAACAGUUAGCCUUGGGAUGGAAUUAGCCAAUUAUCAACACCUCACCAGAGUGAUACGUUUGUUACAAUUGAUGAACCUGUACUGACCAUCAUCGUCCAUCGUCUACAUUAGGGUUCACUCUUGGUGUUACAUGUUCUAUGGAUUUGGACAAAUGUAUAAUGUAUAAUGUAGCUUCCAUUACAGUAUCAUACAGAGUAGUUUCACGACCCUAAAAAUCCUCUGUCCUCUGCCUAUACUUCCCUCCCUUCCCUCUAACUUUUAUACAAGUUUAUUUUUCUUUGUCUGCAAUAACUCAAAUGUCAGACUUUCUGAUUUUUUAUACUCCCUCCUACUCCUUUUUCACAUAAAGGACAUUGGGAAAUCAACCACUAGAAAUGAGGAGGGAGAAUUAUGUAUUCUUUGAUCCCAUCACUGAAAUUACCAUAUUUUUUUUUUGUAGCUUCUAUGUCUGAAACUCCAUGACUAAUAAAGAUUCCAGAUCAACUAAUUGUGACUUUCUG